rnacentral:rRNA from 1 species
UACGGGGGGGGGCAAGCGUUGUUCGGAAUUACUGGGCGUAAAGGGCUCGUAGGCGGCCAACUAAGUCAGACGUGAAAUCCCCUCGGCUUAACCGGGGAACUGCGUCUGAUACUGGAUGGCUUGAGUUCGGGAGAGGGAUGCGGAAUUCCAGGUGUAGCGGUGAAAUGCGUAGAUAUCUGGAGGAACACCGGUGGCGAAGGCGGCAUCCUGGACCGACACUGACGCUGAGGAGCGAAAGCCAGGGGAGCAAAGCGGG